UAAAGACUAUGUACAUGGUUAAUAUAUUUAACAAAAAUAAACAAGCGCAUACGCGAGCAAGGCCUUUCUAGUAACAUAUUAAACAAGUUAUAUCGCUUUAGUAGACACGAGGUGAUCCGAGGUCAUAAAUAUGUAAAAUAAAAAUUCCACCGUUUGAUGUAAUCAUGCUAAUUAAAUAGGAGUCUACUGAAAAAAAUCAACCAUUCGUUACGUUCCUCAUUGAAUCGGUCAACCUUAAUUUAACCUCAUUUUUUACCUAAUACGCGGUUGUCCGGCAUCGUGUGAAACCCUAUUUUUCUUCGUUUUCGAACCUAAAGCUCUUAUAUAUGAGAUUUAGAAACCCCAUGAAUUUUUUUUGUUAAAUUGACCCUCCGGUGGUUAUGCUCCCCUUAGGAGUGUCUAAAUGUAAUUAUGGUUGACCGCAUUUAUCGGGGUCCAAACAUUACCGAAAGUUUGUGUUUUUUAAACCUUAGUCGUAUUUCACUAUUCCGAUCAUAUCCUAUUUUAUAAGAUUUUUGAAAAUUUUGAUUCCUCUGUAUAAUUGUUUCACAUCAUGGUCCUCU
rnacentral:lncRNA from 1 species